rnacentral:rRNA from 1 species
CAGUCGCCGCGGGAAUACGUAGGGUGCGAGCGUUAAUCGGAAUUACUGGGCGUAAAGCGUGCGCAGGCGGUUGUGUAAGACAGGUGUGAAAUCCCCGGGCUUAACCUGGGAACUGCGCUUGUGACUGCACAGCUAGAGUAUGGCAGAGGGGGGUGGAAUUCCACGUGUAGCAGUGAAAUGCGUAGAGAUGUGGAGGAACACCGAUGGCGAAGGCAGCCCCCUGGGCCAAUACUGACGCUGAGGAGCGAAAGCGUGGGGAGCGAACAGGAUUAGAUACCCCUGUAGUCCCUGUCUCUUAUAC